AGGAAUCUGCCCUAUAAUUGAUAGUCCACGAUUUUUAGUACUUAUUUUAUUAGUUUGCAUAUCGCCGUAGUUUGAAUAUUUUUAUAAAAAUUUAAUAUUCAAUAAGUUUUAUAAGAAAAGAAUUCAGGUCAAGAUGUAGUUUAUGGAUAAGAAGAGGUGGAUUACAAUAAAUUUAUUUAAAAUGGAAUAAUGUAUAAAAUUAUAUUAUGAAGGUGGAUUUAAAGGUAAUUUUAUUAAGAUAAAUAAUUUGAUUAAUAGCUCUAAAAUAUGUACAUAUCGCCCGUCGCUUUCAUUAUAAAAUGGAAUAAGUCGUAACAGAGUAGGUGUACUGGAAAGUGUACCUAGAACGAUCAAAUUAGAGCUUGGUUAAGCAUUUUAGUUACAUUAAAAAGUUUAUUGUAAAUUCAAUAUAAUUUGAAUUUAAAUUUUUAUUAAGAGAGUAUUUAAUUAUGUUUUAUAAUAAAUAUAUUUAAUUUUUAUUAAUUUAUUUUAAAAAAAUAGGUUUAAUUAUAGAGUAAUAGUAUAGUAAUAGAAAAUAAAAUAAGUUUUUAAAAGAAGAAUUAAUUUUUUGUACCUUGGGUAUCAGGGUUUAUUAAAUAAAUUUUAAAAAUUUAAUUUUCUCGAAUUAAUAAGAGUUAUAAUUAUAUACUUUUUUUUGUGGAAUAAAAAUUGUUAAUAUAAUUAUGGAAGUGAAACGUUAGUCGUUUAUUAAUAUAUCUAGUUUUUAAAGAAAUAAAUUUAAUUUUAUUAUUAAUUUAAUAAAAAAUUAAUUUGAUAGUUUUUUAUUUAUUAAUAGUCUAUAUUUUAAGGGAUGAGCUUUAAAAUAAAAUUUUUAAAGAUAAGUAUAUAUUUAUUUAAUUAAGUAGGAUUAUAAGUUUUUAUCUUUAAAAAUGUGUUGUAACUUUAUUAGGAUUAUUUAGAAUUUAUAUAGUCUUGAAAUUUUUUAUUUAAAUAAAAAUUUAAAUUAUUUAAUAUUUUGUAAUAAUGAUAAAAUUAGUAUAAAUUUUUGUUUUAAUAAAUUAUAAAUUAAAGGUUAAAAAAAGGAAUUCGGCAAAUAGAUUUUUCACCUGUUUAUUAAAAACAUGGCUUUUUGAAAAUAAUUUAAGGUCUGGCCUGCCCAAUGAUAUAUUAAAUGGCCGCAGUAUUUUGACUGUGCAAAGGUAGCAUAAUCAUUAGUUUUUUAAUUGAAAGCUGGAAUGAAAGGUUGGAUGAGAAAAUAGCUGUCUCUUUUUAAAUUAAAUAGAAUUUUAUUUUUAAGUUAAAAAGCUUAAAUUUUAAUAGAAGACGAGAAGACCCUAUAGAGUUUUAUUUAUUAAUAUUUAGAGAGAAAUGAGUAUUUAA
rnacentral:rRNA from 1 species